rnacentral:rRNA from 2 species
CCAAGAAGUCUAUCUUGCGCGCAAGCCAAUGGGUAAAUGGUGCGGUACGCCGCCCAUGAAUCGAAACCCACAGGCGAAGACAAAUCGAGUGUUACGGGAUUACGGGUACGGCCGAUGGCGCAAGCCUUCGUCGGAUCCCUCCAUCCCAGGGUGUCCCGUUCGGGUGCUUGCACCCAGCGGACAUCCCCGGAGUGCGUAGGAUGUGACCCGAAAGAUGGUGAACUAUGCCUGAUCAGGUUGAAGUCAGGGGAAACCCUGAUGGAGGACCGAAGCAAUUCUGACGUGCAAAUCGAUUGUCAGAGUUGGGCAUAGGGGCGAAAGACCAAUCGAACCAU